UUUCUUCUUCUGUAAUAACAGGUCCCUUCUUCCACCACUUCACUGCCUCCAUCUCCACCAAACCCACCAGAAUUUCUUCAAUAAAAAAAAAAUUACGCUCCAUAUAUUCAUCCAUUAAAUGGACAAGAGGGGUUGCUCUGAUGGUAAGCAACCUCCACUUCCAACCAAGAGGUUGUAAGUUCGAGUCACCCCAAGAGCAAGGUGGGGAGUUCUAGGAGGGAAGAUGACGAUGGUCUAUUGGAAACAGCCUCUCUAUUUCAUGGUAGAGGUAAGGUUGCGUACACACUACCCUUCCCACACCCCACUAGUAAAAUUAUAUUGGAUUAUUGUUGUUGUAUAUUCAUCCGUUAAAUCACACCCACCACCACUUUGAUUGCCACAUCGAUAUUUUUUUUUAAAAAAAGCUUAGAAAACUUCAACAAAAAAAACAGCAUAAUAGAAAUCAUCUCCGGUACAUUUUUCUCCUUCAAAACUCUUUCGUUUCUUCCUAAGAGUCAUCUCCAGUACAUUUUUCUCUUAUUUUCUUUUUCUUUUUCUUCUUCUUAUUUUUCGCCGGAAACAAUGGUGAUUCCGGUGACACUUUAAACAAUGGAGAUAUUUAAUAUAAAAAAGAAGAUGAAGAAAUAGGUGGGGAGAUUGGAUGUAACGAGAAAAAGAAGAAGCCAUAAAUAAAAAAAUUUGAAAUUAAAAAACCAAAUACAAGAACUAAUCAGCUGGGGGAAGAGAUAGCUAGGGAGUGCGGGGAUGAUGAAGGAGGCUUGGUGGCGUGGGGUGGGGGUUGGGGAUAAAGAAAAGGAAAAAAUAAUGGAGAGAAAAACUAAAUAAUAAAUGAAAAAGAUAUUAUGCGGUUUAUAAAACACAUGUCAAAAUAUGAUUGGUUCGUGUGGUAUUUAUUAUAUUUCAAAUAAAGACAUAGGACCUACAAAGUAUGAGGGUGUUAGAUGCGGAUUCAAAAUUUAAAUUUUAUGAGUUCAAUAUUUAAAGUUCUUAGUAUUGAACCCAUUAAAUUUUUUAAACUAUAGGUUCAAUCUACUAUUUAUUGUAAUUUUAGUGAAUUUUUACACAUUAAUUUAUAUUACGCGUCAAAAGAUAUGGAUUCAAUUGGACCCGUCACUAAAGUGCUACAUCCGUCCCUGGAGGGUGUAACUGGUAAAUUGGAACAACCCUAACGGGUAACUAUGUAUUAUCCUAUUACAAAUCAAACAAAACAACUUGGGAAACACAUUUAUUAGUUGAAACACAUAUAUUUUCUCUCACUAUAAUGGCAUCUUUGUAUCUCCUCAAUAUCUCCUCAAGUAAUUGUCUUCUCUCUCUAUGUUUGUGUUUCUAGCUAAGAAGAGAGAGAAAAAAGUUGAGAAUAAUAGUAAGUACUAACUGAUGUGAGGCGGAUUUUCUCAGAGAUAGGCUGUGUAGCCAUUUACCCUCGACUGCUGAAGGAAAUUUCAUUGAAGCCAGUAGAAAGAAUACAGCCAUACAGAACUUUUACGUAUAUAGAACUUUUAUGUUUUUUUAGUGUAAUUUAACUUUUAUAGAGGUUAUUUCCUUUGCUUUUUGGAUUAUCAGAUCAUAUUAGUUACAAAUAAUUAUCUAUUAUUGUGAGUAAUUUAACUUAAUGGUGUAAAACUAUUAACAUAAUUAUCAGUGUACGACAAUUAAACUUUUCUAUUUACAAGUUUCACCAAAGUUAUCUAUUCUAACCCAUGUAAUUAAGAAUAUAGUACAAUUGGAUGGUAAAAGUCACAUUUCUCCGCUCUUAAUUAACGGUCUUCAUUUCAAGUUUUAAAAUUGAAGUCUUUUAUGGGAGGAUGCUUUACAACCUGUAAUAGGCCUUCUCCGCAUGAGUCCAAAUUAGUCGAGCUAUGUAUUUUAGAUACAUGUUUGGAGCAAAAAAUAAAGUGAAGCUCUAACAGUAAUUUGUUAAAGAUGAAAAGGAGAACUCUUCUCUGUUAUUUUAGUUUAAAAUUACAUAAAGAUCUAUAUAUUUUUCGUACAAAUCUAUGGUCCAUAUUAUAUUCAGGGACGGAGCUAGAGCUUCGAUAAAGGUUUCGGUCGAACCCAGUAACUUUAGUUCAAAUCAUAUAUUUGUCUUAAGAAAUUCAUUGAAUAAGUACAAAUUCUUACUUUAGAACUCAGUGACAUAAAAACGUUAGAAUCUUGAACCCAAUAACUUACUCCGCCUCUGAUUAUAUUAUUAUUUACUAAGAACGCAUGACAGUUGCAUGCAUAUACUAUUAUUUCAAGAAAUCUUCAAUGUACGUAGUUGUACAAAUGACAGGGACUAAUAAGGGGCGGAAGCAGAAUGUGGGAUGCGAUUUCGGCCGAACCCAGUAAUUUUUAUUCAAAUCAUGUAUUUAUUUUGAGAAAUUCAUUAAAUAUGUUCAACUUAUUAAUCUAGAACCCAGUAACUUAAAAGUAUUACAAUUCCGAACCCAUAAGGUUCAAAUCUUGAUUACGACUAUGGAACUAAUUCUGUCCGACUAGUGUAUAUAUAUAUAUAUAUAUAUAUAUAUAUAUAUAUAUUAUUAUAUACCAUUACCAUCGACCACGAGUUUUACUGUAAUAAAAUAAUUUUGUCGAAUCAACCUGGCAUGUAAGGUGAUUAUUCUGUUUACUUAACUUUACGAUCAGAUUUAAUAUAUUUUGUUGGCCAAAUUUAUUUUCCGAGCAAUCAAUCAUAAGUUCAUUGAUUCUAUUGAUUCAGUAACGUUCGUAUAAAACUUAAUUAAUAAGUUGACUGACCAUUUAAUAAAUUAACUUUAUUAUUCCUAAUUUCCUACAGCAAAUUCUAAAGCCUCCCAUCCCCGCAGUACAUAUCAUAUCAAGUACUUUAGGUUCAGUGGUUCAGCAUAGGCAAGCAAGUAAUAAGAAUGUACUCCAACUUUUAUCUUUUCCUUUCUUAUUUUUUUUGUUUCAAUUAUUUUACGAGAAAUAAUUAUUCAAAUAUUUAAGGCGAUUUCAGAGUUUUAUUGCAUUAGGUUGGAAAAAGUCUAGUCUGCCACAGAGUUGACUCUAAGUGAGUGUCCACUAAUUAGUCAGAGGAAGGUAUGCUUGACCUGAGAAGUUUGGAACAAACACAUACAUAUUCAUUUCAUAUGUAAGUACACUUAGUUUCUUUUUUCUUUUUGCAUCACACACCCCUUAAAUUACUAUAGUAUAUAAAAGAGACGAUAUUGUGCCUCUAAGAGGUCGUUAGGUAAAGUGUGUUUGAAAAAAUAAUGCAUGCAUUAACUUUGUAUACAUAUAUCAGUAAUAUCUUGUUUGGUAUACUUUUUCAACUUAUGUAUAACUAAUACAAGCAUUAGUUAUACACAUUAUUUGGUAUUAUCAUAUUUAUAGCUAAUACAUAGCAAAUCAGGGUAUUAGCAAUACCAAGAUUAUUAAUACAUAUAUAAGCUUAGUUAAAAUAUAACUGCCCCUCGAAUCUCUCAAAACCUAAUCCAAAUACUAUUUGACAUAUUUUGUAUGUUUUUAUAUUGUGAUAUUUUAAUUAAUUUUUUCCCUUUAGCACUCUACUGUAAUAAAAAAAAAUAUCAUAUUUAAUAGUAUUAAAUUUGAUUUUAAAUUCGUCCAAAGUAUAAACUGAAGUUUUCUUACCUAUUUUUUUAAUAAUUGAUAUUUUGUAUUAUAUGUCAUAGCAAUUAAAUUUUUCUUCUCUUUUAACUUUGAUAUUUCAAUUAGUUUUCUCUUUUAGUUUUGCUCUCUUGUAAAAAAAAAAAAGUUGACUUGAGAGAGUAAAAAAUGUGGAUAGUAAUAAAACCGUUGCAAUAAAAAUAGUGUACAAAGUUAAAUAAUGUGAAGGGUAUUUUUGUAAACAAUUAAUUUUGUAAGAAAUUAUGCAAUGUUUUUAUACACUAAAUCAAACAGUAGAUAAGACAUAAUCUCAACGAAACUAAUGCCAGCAUAACUAAGUAUUACUAAUAUAAUUUAUUCAGCACUAUUCUUAUACCUCCUACCAAACGAUCCCUAAUUUUCUACCAAUGGUAAAGAUAUGUCUCCCACACAAUUAAUUUAUGACUUAUGAAAGUGGGGAUAUAAUGAUAGAUAAGAGAAACUGUAAUUGUGAGUUCACAUCAUUUUUUCAUAUGUGACUUUUGUGUCUGUUCAAUCGAUCGUAAGAAUGUGAUGAAAAUGCAAACAAAACGUAACUCAUAAUAUCCAAAGAAGAAAAACAAAGUUAAAGUUUUUAAAGAAUAUGAAUCGGUAGAAAGCAAUUUGGUAAAACGUGCUAGAAUUCGAUUUCUUUUUCAACCAAAUUCCAUUACCGUGUCACUCCAAAUACCUUAACAAGUCUGAUUGAUAAUAUGGUCAAACUGUAAAUACACUUCGAAUGGAGGACAAGAAAGAAAAAGAACAUUAGCCAUACCCUUUUUUUCAGUGUAAAACCUAUUUACAUUCGGUUUACACCAAACUAUACUAAUUUAACAUAGUUAAGUACAAAUCAAUAACAACAAUAAUUACUUACUCAGUAUAGUCUCACAAUUGGGGGUCUAAGGAGGGUAAUGUGUACACAAACCUUACCUCUACCUUGAAAAAAUAGAGAGACUGUUUCUGAUAGACCCUCGACUGAGACGACGACAACAACAACAACAACAACAACUCAGUAUAAUUUCACUAGUGGAGUUUGGGAAGGGUAGUUUGUACACAGACCUUACCCCUACCCUGAGAUAGAGAGGCUGUUUCCGAUAGACCUUCCAGACCCUCGACCCAGCAAGCCAAUCAAAAAAAUCGAAGUGAACGAAUAACAAGUGACAGAGGAAGAAAGAACGAAUGAGCUAAAAGAUUGUUGUCUGCAAGAGGUUCAUGAUGUAUAAAGCUUAAUGGGAAAACAGAUCAAAGAAAGUUAUCGGAAUUAAGCAACUGAAAAUGGAAAAUUAUAUAACUACUGUCCCAUUUUUUUUGGACAGAAUCUAGUUAGACGACAUUGAUAAGCUGAGACUUGUGUAAUGAAUUGCCCCCUGCUACUAAUCAAUUUAAUGUUUACAAGACAACAAGGAAAACAUAUUUAACGAAACAUUAAAGUGACUUCCUGCUUCAAUGCAGGGAAAACUAGAAAAGAAGAUAGAUGUAAAGCAACAAUAUCUGUAACUAAAACAUUACCAUAUCUCAAAGUUAAAGAGAACUGAACAUUAUCUUCAAGAAUACAAGACUUUGGUGAAAGAAAUAACAUGGAAGGCAAAAGGGAUAUUAUCACUUUUAGCCCGCACCAGAAACUAUUUAAUUGAGAGAAAAUGAGAACUAAAAUAUACGUGACAACAAACAGAUAAAAAUAUAAAUAUCUCAAUUAACUGAGAUUUGAUUAGUUAUAACAAUGUAUGUGAAGACAUGAUAUAGCUUUCGGUGUGGCCUUUUCUCAAAAUCUUAAAGAUAUCCCUUUCAGUAAUUGCCAUUUAUUUUUACUUGUAUUUAAGGGUAUAUUGCAAUUUGCAAAAAAAGCUGUAACUUCAUGUAACUUCAUUUAUGCUUAUGCUUAUCAUGAUUUUUAGCUGUAACUUUGACAAGAGUGGGUUGCUUUAGCAGUGAGCACCCUCCACUUCCAACCAAGAGGUUGUGAGUUCAAGUCACCACAAGAGCAAGGUGGGGAGUUCUUGGAGGGAUGGAGCCGAGGAUCUAUCGACACAGUCUCUCUGUCGUAGGAUAAGGGUAAGGUUUGCGUACAAACUACCUUCCCCAGACCCCACUAGUGGAAUUAUACUGGGUUGUUGUUGUUGCUGCUUA
rnacentral:lncRNA from 1 species